GAAGGGGGCCACCUUUUUUCGAAAUUCGGGGGCGUAAAGCCCCGGUGGGGGGAUUUUAAAGUCAGGUUUGAAAUCCCAAGGGUCCACCCUGGAAACUGCAUUUGAAACUGGGCAUUUUGGAGUUCCGGAGAGGUUAGUGGAAUACCGAGUGUAGAGGUGAAAUUUGAAGAUAUUCGGUGGAACACCAGUGGCGAAGGCGACUAACUGGAGUGAUACUGACGUUGAGGUGCGAAAGUGUGGGGAGCAAACAGGAUUAGAUACCCUGGUAGUCCACACCGUAAACGGUGAGAGCUAGUUGUCUGCAGGCAUGCCUGUAGAUGACGCAGCUAACGCAUUAAGCUCUCCGCCUGGGGAGUACGGCCGCAAGGUUAAAACUCAAAGAAAUUGACGGGGGCCCGCACAAGCGGUGGAGCUUGUGGUUUAAUUCGAAGCAACGCGCAGAACCUGACCUACGCUUGACAUGCCUGGACGACUCCGAGAGAUCGGUUUCUCCGUUCGGGGCCAGUGCACAGGUGCUGCAUGGCCGUCGUCAGCUCGUGUCGUGAGAUGUUGGGUUAAGUCCCGCAACGAGCGCAACCCUCAUCCUUAGUGGCCAUCACGUUCGGGUGGGCACUCUAGGGAAACUGCCGGUGCUAAGCCGGAGGAAGGCGGGGAUGACGUCAAGUCCUCAUGGCCCUUACGCGUAGGGCUACACACGUGCUACAAUGGCAGUGACAAUGGGAUAAUCCCCAAAAGCUGUCUCAGUUCGGAUUGUCGGCUGCAACUUGCCGGCAUGAAGUUGGAAUCGCUAGUAAUCGUGGAUCAGCAUGCCACGGUGAAUACGUUCCCGGGCCUUGUACACACCGCCCGUCACACCAUGGGAGUUGGAUCUACCCGAAGAUUGUGAGCUAACUUCGGAGGCAGCAAGCCACGGUAGGUUCAGCGACUGGGGUGAA
rnacentral:rRNA from 1 species